rnacentral:rRNA from 1 species
CACUGGCAGCUCAAGUGGUGGCCGUUUUUAUUGGGCCCUAAAGCGUUCGUAGCCGGUUUGAUAAGUCUCUGGUGAAAUCCUACAGCUUAACUGUGGGAAUUGCUGGAGAUACUAUCAGACUUGAGGUCGGGAGAGGUUAGAGGAACUCCCAGGGUAGGGGUGAAAUCCUAUAAUCCUGGGAGGACCACCUGUGGCGAAGGCGUCUAACUGGAACGAACCUGACGGUGAGUAACGAAAGCCAGGGGCGCGAACCGGAUUAGAUACCCGCGUAGUCCCUGAGCGGGCUGG